rnacentral:misc_RNA from 1 species
AGGUUUUCUGGGGAUUUUCCUGUGUUUAUAACUAGGUUUAAUGGUCUUAAAGAGCUUGAUUUAGGGGAUAACAAUUUUUCUGGUCCUGUUCCUGAGACAUUAGCUGCAUUAAAGCUGGAAAAAUUGAAUCUCUCACAUAAUAAUUUUAGUGGGGUGUUGCCAAAUUUUGGGGAAUCUAAGUUUGGUGUGGAUGUUUUUGAGGGAAAUAAUCCUACUCUUUGUGGACA